UACGUAGGGUGCGAGCGUUGUCCGGAAUUAUUGGGCGUAAAGAGCUCGUAGGCGGUUUGUCACGUCUGCUGUGAAAUCCCGAGGCUCAACCUCGGGCCUGCAGUGGGUACGGGCAGACUGGAGUGCGGUAGGGGAGAUUGGAAUUCCUGGUGUAGCGGUGGAAUGCGCAGAUAUCAGGAGGAACACCGAUGGCGAAGGCAGAUCUCUGGGCCACUACUGACGCUGAGAAGCGAAAGCAUGGGGAGCGAACAGG
rnacentral:rRNA from 1 species